GGGCAAGUGCUGGAAUGGUAGACAGGCAAGUCUCAAAAACUUGUGGUGCGAAAGCAUCGUGAGGGUUCGACUCCCUCCUUGCCCA
rnacentral:tRNA from 1 species